UGUAAUUAGUAAGGCAUUCGAAAUUCACCCCCUACUUCGAAAUAGCCUUUCCCUUUCCCUCUCUGUAAAAUUUCCAUGUACUCUUUCAAUGUUUGAAUAAAAGUCUCCAAGCUUUUAAGCUACUAAGAGGCGGCAGCGGCGGGGAUGAGUGAUUCCGGCGAAGAGGCGGCGGCGGAGGAGGAGGAAUCGGAGACGCCGAGUUUGGAAGCGUCGGCUAUGGCAAUUAAUGCUAGUGGUAGAAGCAAGAGAAAGAGGAAUGAUGGAUUUAAUGGUUAUAAUUUGGUAGCUGAGGCAAUAGGGAGGUUUUCUGAGAUAUAUGAAAGAGUUGAGAAGGCGAAACAGAGACAAAUGGUGGAGUUGGAGAAGCAAAGAAUGCAAUUUGCUAAAGAUUUGGAGAUACAGAGAAUGAAACUGAUUAUGGAGUCACAAGUGCACCGUGAAAAGCUUAAAUGCUCUAAAAUGCAGUUCAGGAGAUGAUAAUUGCUUGUAGAUGGAGGGUGGUGACAUGCUCUACAAUAUGUGGAUCGUUUUUGGAAGCUUUAUAUAUAUGUUGAUUAGCGUCUUCAAAAGGAUACAAAAAUGCUACCUUGAAGAUGAUACAAAUAUGCUAGUUCCAGGCUUGAUUUGCUUGGUUGUUGCUUAAGUACUUGUAUCUAGCUGCUUGAGAAUCUGGAGUAAUUUUGUAACUUACCUUUCUCUAGAUUACAUGUUUUUUGCACUUCGGCUAGGUGAAAAUGUUGACUUGAGACUGACCUUACCAUGUUCCUAGUUAUAUAUUACUUCAAGCUGUUCAUGA